rnacentral:rRNA from 1 species
UACGGAGGGUGCAAGCGUUAAUCGGAAUUACUGGGCGUAAAGACGCACGCAGGUGGCUGAGUCAGUCGAUUGUGAAAGCCCUGGGCUUAACCUGGGAAUUGCAGUCGAUACUACUCAGCUAGAGUAUGGGAGAGGGUAGUGGAAUUCCCGGUGUGAGCGGUGAAAUGCGUAGAGAUCGGGAAGAACAUCAGUGGCGAAGGCGGUCUGCUGGGCCGGUUGGCUGACGCUGAGGCGCGACAGCGUGGGGAGCAAACAGG